UUUUGAAUGUGGUUUAUGCGAGACUAGCGGUAAUUAGUUUUACAGUGCAAAGUUUACUUUAUAAAUCCGUUUCUUUUUUAUUUUCACGUGAAAAUUUAUAGUGAUGGCGUCUACAAGUUUUACUCGUGAAAAUGAUUUUGAGGACGAUGGGUCCGUUGUGAAUCGUGACUUGAAUAGUGAGGAAGUGAUCACAUUUUCCGGAGCAAAACUCACUUGGAGGUGUUCCAAUGAAGGUCCUCCGAGACUCCUAAAUAAUUAGUAUCGUCAAAAAAGUGCGAUGGUAUUCAAAACUGUUACC